CCCUUAGAUGUUCUGGGCUGCACGCGCGCUAUACUGAAGCUAUCAACACGUUUUCCCUCCCUGAGAAGGGCGGGUAACCUUUUGAAUCAGCUUCGUGGUAGGGAUCGGGGCUUGCAAUUGUUCCCCGUGAACCAGGAAUUCCUAGUAGACGCGAGUCAUAAGCUCGCAUCGAUUAAGUCCCUGCCCUUUGUACACACCGCCCGUCGCUACUACCGAUUGAACGUUUUAGUGAGGCAUUUGGACCGACGCAUCUCAGUUUAACCGCUGGUUUGUGUUGGAAAGACUUCCAAACUUGAGCGUUUAGAGGAAGUAAAAGUCGUAACA
rnacentral:rRNA from 1 species